rnacentral:sRNA from 1 species
UCGAGCCGGUCAGGCCUGGCGCUCGGGAACAUGAACGACGAGCCCAUCCAGAGCUUCGCUCAUCUUGAUCUGACAGGAGAGACGCGAGGUCGGACGCAC